UUAUUGACCACUUCGCCAUGAAGACCAGGAGGGCAGAAUUUAACUACAAGGUGAAAGAUAGGUUAGGCAUGUUUUCUUGUGGCCUACCAAGGUGGUUACUUCACUUAUGCUUUUAAAUGUUAAGGUAAUAAAAAAGGGACGAUUUAACAAUACAGCUGUGACCAGCAACAAUGUAUUCAUUGAAGUAAACAAUACAGUACCUCGUAAAUAACCUAUGUAUCAUCUUUACAAUAACUUAUGUUAUUUCAUAUUUUGUAGUAAUUUAACCCUAAUUGUCUGGAGGGAAGAACAGGAGAGAGAGGACAUCAGAAUACAGUACAGCAGGAAUUGGAGGUGAACAGUUUAGGGAAAGAAAAGGUAGGCUUAAUGUCUUUCCUUUCCAGUUAUGUUACCCAGGGGUGGGGGGUUAAGUGUGCGCUCGUUUCGGUGCGUUGGAUCGACGGGGUUUGCUUCACCAAAAAUGUUGACCACCAAACGCCACUGAUAGGUAAGUAUCUUAUUCAACUUUAAAUCUUACGUUCAGUAUGUUCAGUGCAAUUCAAAAUGUUGGAUUCAACAUAAUGAUUAAGGCCUCACUCACUUUUUCAUUGUAAUAUUUAUAAUAUCAUACAGAGGUUAUAUCUGAUAGGUCUACUAGAUGAAUAGCUCAGACCAUCCCUACUUCUUCUUCUGGUAUUUGGGGAUUUGACCAACCAGGCAACUGACCAAUCCCAAGGAGUCAACUUAAUUUCAGUUCAUGUUUGAGACCCCAGUGAUCUUGAUUGAUUAGUAAGGGACAAAAGGGUCAAUUGGCUUUUGAGAAGACACCCACCGCACGCGGUUAGACAGCAUUCACACUGUGUGCUCUUCAAGAGAGGCUUAACGAUGCUUGGAUCUUAGAAAACGAAAAAAUAAGGACUAGUAAGGUUUUUUCAUAAGGUUUCGCCGAAUCUCUGCCAUGCCACGAAGGUCAGCCGGUCAUUCCUCAAUGCAUUGCUUUGAGGAAUGAGGAAAUUCAUUCUUUUGGGGAAAAUAAUUAAGACCCAAUUGUGGCUGGGAGUAACGAAUAGUUUAGGAGUUCAAAGUUCAGAGUCAUCCAAAUGAUACCUGAAGACAAGCAGGAUUUUUUAUAAGGGACCAAUAGCAUCGCUCAUAUCUUUAACAUCGCUCAUUUCUUUCAGUCGGCCUAUCUUGAACCAGAUGCAGAGAUCUGCCUCUACUGCCCAUACGAGGACUGUGACACCAUCAAAUGUCAUUGAGUGAAGUAUUCCCCACAGAGGUGCAAUGCAUGUGAUUGAGUGAGUUCAAUAGGGGUGGAUUUUUUCUGUAUGUUGUGUAUGAGCUCACCAAAUAAUAUUUUUCUUUUCUGCUAUGGAUGCUAUUUUGGAGUUGUGUCUUCUCUUGAGUAUGAAAGAUAACUUUCUCUGCAUCGGCCCCGUGGAUAUGUGAAGAACCAUCAUAUCUUCCAAAGUAGGCCAACACUCUUUCAAGUAAGAUUACAAGCAUGUAGUAGGCUACUGUUUAUAUCGGUUGGGUUGCAAAACUGUUGAACAAUAUUUAAAUUAAGGUUCUGCUUCACACACACACACACACACACACACACACACACACACACACACACACACACACACACACACACACACACACACACACACACACACACACACACACACACA